rnacentral:lncRNA from 1 species
AUGCCUCCAGUCAGGCUCUACCUCACCAGUCUCCCCAGCAGUUUGAUACUCAUGGAACUGAGGCUCAAAGGAGGGACUUCUGACGAUCUCAGAAUUCCACCUGGGCAGGUCGGAGAGUUCACAGCCCCUCGUCACUCGGAGGAAGGGAAUGCAGAGGAGCAAGGAUGCAGGUUCCUGAGACCAUACAGAGAGGCCUUCCCUGGGCGGUUUCCAGACCAAGAAGCCCACGCCCUUCCCCGGGAGCCAAGCCAAGAAGGUCCUGGGACUGAGGGCCCCAUAUGCCGCUCAUUUUCCAACCCCUCUGGGCAGGGCUGCCUCCGCUCCAUGCCUCAGAGAGAUCUUUGCAAUGAUGGAUAAGCCGUGGCCCCGACGGCCCUGGCCCUGGGGAGGAAAAAAAACAUCUUUUGCAGUUUCGUGUAAAGCCUCCCACUUUUCGCUUAAUAAGUGCUGAAAGAGGCACAAACAGAGGGACCCCGAGCUUGCCAUGACUAACAAGAUGACCACAUCAGGCAGAGCCGAGCUGGGGGAGAGGACCGCGCCGGCCGGCCGCCCGGCUUCCCGGCGCGGAGGUGUCCGAUUCCCGAUUCCCUCCCGGGACGCUCCGCCAACAGUGCUUUGAAGCCAUGCCUAGGAGCCCGGAGCAGGGAGGCACGGAGCGAAGUGGGGAAAGGGCUGGUCCUCCCUCCCGCCUCCCGCAGGAUGGGCACAGAUCGCCCAAGAUAAAGGAACCGCAGCCUCCUCCAACUUGUGCUGAGUCGCUCUUUUCAAAAGCCCUUUCAGAUGGUUUCACUUCUCCGCGCGCGCUUUGUUGAAAGAUGUAAAAAUUUCAAACCACCACAGAGUAAACAUUUCAAAACUCGCUCUUUGCAAAAAUCAGUCACAUUUUCCCAAAAAAAAAAAAAAAAAAAAAUCUUGAAUUCCAUCUCUCCACGCACCACCACUCCCCCCGUCUCCCCCGCCCCCUCAAUCCCUUUUUCUGCGCUCUUUGGAUUCGAGUGUUUUUCAUUAAUUUAGAAGCAGUCCAGGUAAAGCUGGUGUUUGCGAGCUGGUGUUUUACGGGCGGGAAGUAGCUUUGUUAUUUAGGAGAUGUUUUAGAUAAGUCAAUGUCUUGUCAAAAUCAAGCAGGUUUUCUUUAUUAGGGUGAAAUCGUAAUGAACUCAUCUGCUUCUAAUAUUUAUAAAGAGAAGAGAGGCCAUUAAUUCUACUGCUUGUGAAUAAAACCAUCUGUGAUUUCUUUCCA